UGGGGAAUCUUGCACAAUGGGCGAAAGCCUGAUGCAGCAACGCCGCGUGCGGGAUGAAGGCCCUAGGGUUGUAAACCGCUUUCAGUAGGGAAGCGGUACCUACAGAAGAAGGUGCGGCCAACUACGUGCCAGCAGCCGCGGUGACACGUAGGCACCAAGCGUUGUCCGGAUUUAUUGGGCGUAAAGAGCUCGUAGGCGGUUCGGUAAGUCGGGUGUGAAAACUCUGGGCUCAACCCAGAGAGGCCACUCGAUACUGCUGGACUAGAGUGCGGUAGGGGAGCGGGGAAUUCCUGGUGUAGCGGUGAAAUGCGCAGAUAUCAGGAGGAACACCAGUGGCGAAGGCGCCGCUCUGGGCCGUAACUGACGCUGAGGAGCGAAAGCAUGGGUAGCAAACAGGAUUAGAUACCCCUGUAGU
rnacentral:rRNA from 1 species